CCUACGGGUGGCAGCAGUGAGGAAUAUUGGUCAAUGGACGAGAGUCUGAACCAGCCAAGUAGCGUGCAGGAUGACUGCCCUAUGGGUUGUCAACUUCUUUUAUAUGGGAGUAAAAUGUUCCACGUGUGGGAUUUUGUAUGUACCAUAUGAAUAAGGAUCGGCUAACUCCGUGCCAGCAGCCGCGGUAAUACGGAGGAUCCGAGCGUUAUCCGGAUUUAUUGGGUUUAAAGGGAGCGUAGGUGGAUUGUUAAGUCAGUUGUGAAAGUUUGCGGCUCAAACGUAAAAUUGCAGUUGAAACUCGCAGUCUGGAGUACAGUAGAGGUGGGCGGAAUGCGGGGGGUAGCGGUGAAAUGCUUAGAUAUCACGAAGAACUCCGAUUGCGAAGGCAGUUCACUGGACUGCAACUGACACUGAGGCUCGAAAGUGUGGGUAUCAAACAGGAUUAGAUACCCGGGUAGUC
rnacentral:rRNA from 1 species